CCUAGUGGCGGACGGGUGAGUAACGCGUGAGUAACCUGCCUUUCAGAGGGGAAUAACGUUCUGAAAAGAACGCUAAUACCGCAUAACGUACAGUUACCGCAUGGUAGCAGUACCAAAGGAGCAAUCCGCUGAAAGAUGGACUCGCGUCCGAUUAGCUAGUUGGUGGGGUAAAGGCCUACCAAGGCGACGAUCGGUAGCCGGAUUGAGAGGUUGAACGGCCACAUUGGGACUGAGACACGGCCCAG
rnacentral:rRNA from 1 species